GGUUGAGCAGCUGGCCUGCCCCAGAGAAGAGUUUCGAGCAGGAGAGUGAAGAGAGGAGCCAGGAAGGUGACCAGAGUGACCAGAACUGCCAGCCAGGUGAGGUCCUUGCCCCCGGCGGGAAAAGGCAACCUAGCAGAGACCCCGUGGAUGCAACAGGUGUGGCUCUGUAGUUUCUGAGCGGACCCAGCCCUCAUCCUGCGAGCUCACACAGCAGAGAAUCAUCUAGGACAGAUGUAAAGCUCUUUGAGGAAGAACCACCCUGUGUCCCUUGGACUCACAGCACCAAGGGACACCGAGCACCGAGGGACUCGGGAUGACGUGGGGAUCGGUGACUGUAUACAGCUAUGGACGCAGACAGAUGGAUUUGUGGCUCAGGGUCAUCACGCAUGGAGACACGCUUACCCCAGCCUGAAGACAUGACCUGCCUUCUCGGGGAUAGUUGUCGGCCAUUCUCUUCCGAGUCACACAGGAAGAAGGUGAUCUCAUCUUUAUUGCCACUCUUCCCCGACCCCGACCUGAAAGCAGGAUUAGCCCUGAUGUCCAUAAGGUGGCAGAGGCCCUUGGCUCUGUCUGGGAGGCAUUGCUGGCUGUCAUGUGUUGUGCUAACCUUGGGAGUGACCUUGAUUGGGGAGGCAGGGAACAAGCAAGAAAUUAGUAUGUUGGAGAGCUGGCCAGUUUCCCGGUUAAGGAGGGCUGGCUCAGGGUCCACCCCCAAGAUGAACUUGGAGCUCUUUGAGAGCAAGACCUAUGUCUGAAGCAUCUCUGUAUUCAUAGUGCCUCAAUUAACACCUGGCACGUAGCAGGUGUUCAUCCAACACUGGGCGCUCCUGUAGUUGCCAGCAACCAGAGUUACCAGCAAGGAGGUAACAGGAAAACAGAUGUUAACGACUGUACUGAAAGGCCCCACCUGUGCUGACCACCACAAAGGCAUCAUCCUUUGCUAUAGAGCAGAGUUCUGGGUCCCAAGCACAAAAUCCAGGAACAUCUCUUGUCUUUUGUUAACUGCAAAAUCUCUAUCUCCCCUACAAAAAAAAAAAAAACACAGGGACAGACUCUGUGUAUAUAUCCAUGGAUUUAUAUAGCCAUGGCGUGCUCUUCUAAAUGUCUUUAAAAUCUAUUAAGUUAGAAAUGUUGGAGGUGGUGAUGAUAAGAGCUAGUCCCUAGAUGUGGCAUUGCCCAUCAGAACUGCGUUUCCUAGAAAGCCAAGGCUGCUUCUGAACAGCUGAACCUUGAACCCAGUAAAGCCUUGAACCCGGUGAAAGGAUGAGUAGAUCGUGGAGCGUUAAGGAGAAAAAGGGAGGGUCCUUGCCAGCCGCCUCUUUGCCUGCUUACCAGAGGCUCGCAAGCUCACAUGGCGGUCUCUGGGCAGGAGGACAGCUGGUCACUGGGUUUCUGUGCUCCUGUCCUGGGAGUUUAGAGCUGGAACGUCACUUACAGUGGAUCUUCAGAUACCCUCUCAGAUCACUCCUCGAAGGGCUUAUCCCAGGAACAAAUCAAAUAGGAAGUGAUAGAAACAGGCAGAGGAGUUUGAAAUGGCUAAACCAGGGAAGGCUGUUGGGGGAGAGGGGAUUGGAGGGACAGGGACUGUAAGCUCAGCGAGGUUAGAGACUCUUUAACUCCUGGGGGGCUGGGUGAAGGCUGUUCCAAAGGCCUCUAGGAAAUCGUUCAAGAAACUAGAAGGAAAGCUGUCAAGUGCUUCAUGGGGUGCAAAGUCACCCCCCCAGCCCCACUCACCACCGUGGGGGGCCCCAGUGGAGCUCCCCAUCAGAACCGCCACGCCACGCCAGCUCUUUCAAUGGGCGCCGUCCAGUGGGCUCUCCCCUGGGGCUUGGCCCCACCUGAGCGUGUGAUAGGCUCUGAUGACAACAGUCACUCACAUGCAUUUAGUGCCUCACACACAGGGUCUCAUUUAAUCCUCCCAACAACGCUUGAAAUGGAAUGUUUCUAUCCUCACGUUAAAAAUGAAGAAACUAAGACCUGGAGAGGUGCAAUAACUUUCCCAAGGUCAUGCAACUAAGAAGUAGAGGAGCGAGGCUUAGAAUCCAGUCUUGCACGAAUGUUCUCAUUUUCGCGUUGUGGGAUUUUUCAUUCCCUUUGCUGGAAUCACCAGUCUGUUUUCUGUCCCUGUUACGUGGUCCUGCUUCUCCCGUCUCUUCUGUGGCCUGCCAAAGCCACAAAAUGGUUUCUAAGUUCCAAGUCCAGUGGGUACCAGAUGCUGCCAGGCCCUAUUAAAGCCAUGUUCAUGAGAGAGCCCGGCUUCCUACUAGCAGUCCCUGGAAUCUCUCCUGUGGGAAUUCGGGGGAUAUUCCGAGUCAGGGCAGACUUAAGAAACUGAUUAUGCUGUUCAUUCUGUAAGUCAAGUAACAGGCCCUCAGAGUGAGUGACCUGAACAGCUGGAGCCAGCUGGGCAGGUUCAGCUGCAGCCACAGGUCAAGGGCCUUGGUUCAUCUGCCAGCCGGAUUCCUCUCUUCUCCACUUGGCAUCCACUGAAAAGGGACUGAAAUGUGCAAAAUGGCCUUUUCCCUCCUGUGUCCACCUGGCGUCUCUCUAGUAGACUGGCCUAAUUUCCUCAUCUUGUUGCCCUGGGCUCCAGGAGCCACCUCCCACACCCUCUGUCCUGCCCCACUCCCAUACCCAUCUCCUUCAGUCCAGCUGGCUGUGUUGUAUCACAUGACUCUGCCUCUGUCCUCCUCACACCACACACACACACACACACACUCACACACUCAGGCAGGUCAAUGAGCCAGGAUCUGUGUACACUGGUCAACAACUUGUGAAGUCCCCUGACUCAGGGAAUGUUUGGAAAGCCAGUCAGGCCAGGCAGAUUCCUCUUUUAGGAAAUUUGAACCUCCAAAUCAGGCUGCAUGGGCAGUGUGUGACAGGAGGUCAUGAGGGCAAGUAGGGCCAGGUGCUGGCCGGAAGUACACUGAGAUGGAAGCUUGGAGAUUGAAGAAAGGCAAAACAAUACUUAUCAUUGGGGGAUUAAUGAGCCUCUUUGGGAAGAAGAUAAAGGAUGUCGAGAUUAGAGGCAGAACUCCAGGAAAGGCAGAGAGAGGAGCCAGUCCUAGAGCCUCCCCAAGGCUCGCCAGGCCUGCCUCACCCAUGUGAGGCAGCAGGCUCCUUACUUAGUCCCUCUGCUGUCUGUUGGCUCAGAAUUGGGCAUGUGACAGUUCUGCCAACAUAACUUAUGGGGAAAUGGCUGGGGGACCUUCUGGGAAGAUUUUGUUUUCUGAUAAAAGGAGAAUGAAGAGGCCCAUCUCUUCCUCCUGCUUUGAACAGGGAUGUUUGAGAUGUGAUAUUUGGAGCUGUGGCAGCCAUUUUGAGACCAGGUGGCAACGAAACUAAGGGAGAAAGCCAACAUAGCAAGGUUGGCCGAGUAGACAGACAAAGCCUAGGUCCUCGAUGAUACCGUUGAGCCACCAUACCUAUCCGGGAACCGCCUACUUCCAGUCUUACUGAUCUUUAAAUUGAACCGUCUUUAUUUUCUAAGCACAUUUCUGCUAUUUUCAGCCUAAAAGGCAUUCUUAGCCAGUCAAUACAACACUCCUCCGAACUUCCCAGUCAUCAACUCCUUAGAGCCCCCACGGCUCUUGGUACAGCUCCAAAUGGAAAAUCAGCCCAAUUUAGACACUGGAAACCUUAAUUGUAUGGUAGGAAAUACAGGUCAAGAUUGGUCAUAGCCCACACAGGCAAGCAGCUUGUACACUUAGUUCCGAUUCCUGGAGCCUACCGGGCACUGAUGAGGAAAGAAAGAUUCAGGACAGUUCCAGAUGCAUGAGCCUGGGUCUUCUAAAUUGGGGCUCCAUGAGGAACUUUAGAACAAAUCAGCGUGGAAUCGAAGGCCAUGGCAGAAGGAGAAGCAAGUUGGAAUUGGCAAAUGGUGAGUUAGGUUGGGUGAAUUCUGGAGGAGGCCGGUGUCACACAGCAGGGUUUUAUGAGCCCCAUAUACUAGGUGAAGGAAAUGUAUGGCAGCUAGAGCUUAACUGAUGGAAAACUAGGCUUUGUAGUUAACUCUCCAGCCAGCCUAAGUGACAUUUCAUAUCCUUUGGGGAACACGGUGCCCUGACUUGAGGCCACUUCCCGCUUUCUCCAUGCCUUGUCCCUUUGCCACCUGGCCCUUCUUUCUUUAGCUUUCCUUCCCAUCUUCUCUGAGCAAAGCCAGGAGACAGAAACGCACAGGACCUGAAUUGCUUCUUCCUCAAUUGGGGAAUGGAUAUAGUGGCAAGCAAGGAUGUCUCCUAGAAGACUUAGAAUCCCAGGCGAGGGAUAAGGAGUUUGGUUGGGAGGUGAAAACGCAGUCGGUGGAUAAGGACUAGAUGAAGCUUUCUUCUGAUCCAAUUUUCAUCACAUAACGUGGUUUUUGUGUUGCUUCAACACAAGAAAAUGUGCCUGACCCUUGCUUCAUGAAAAGAAGAAUUGAACUUAGGAACUCUAGCCCUUCCUCUUUAAAUGUCUAGUUUUAAAUAUAAAGUGAAACCGGUAUCCUCCUCAUGUAGCUGUCAGAUGCAUUCAGAACUGGAGAAAAAUUGCCCUGCCCUUUCCCAACUCAAAAUAGUCUUCGGCAGUAAAGAGAGGUGGCCCAUAGAAGUUCCUCAAGCUAAUGGGGGCCGAACACCAAUGUGUUGCAAUUAGGGUAGAAUUUGCAACCUCCAGAUCCUGCCAGUAAGCCUCGCCCCCUCAACACAGUCCUUUCACACCCUCCACAAUUUAUGGAGUCCUGCCCUUGAAGGUUCAGACUAGGCUGACUCGGUUUGCCUGUUGUAUUACUUCAUUCAUUCAGCAAAGUUGGACUGAAUACCUACCAGGAAUAGAAGUUAAGCUUAUAAAAGCAAGUUUGUAAGCUUAUCUUCCUAAGUCAUUAUAUAUAUAUAUAUAAUAUAUAUAUAUAUAUAUAAUUUAUA
ensembl:lncRNA